GUCCUCAAGGGAUUAGCCACCCACUAGGUGCCUGCCCCGUGCUCGAUGUGCAUUCCUCAGCCCCCGCGCCCCCUCCGCUCUCUCCUCCCCCUCCCUGUCCCUGUCCCCAACCCUAAACCUUUUCCCUCUCCAUCCCGCAGCCGCCUCCCCUAGAUCCUCGUCCCCUUCACCCAGUCCUUCCCGCGGAUCCAAGGCGUGUGGACGCGGCGGCGAGUUUCUCCGGCGGCGGUGGCAACCUGCAAGCAAAGGGCAGCGGCGGCGCUCGAUUUGAUCUGCAGGAGAGAGAGAGACGGAGAGGAGGGACGCCACCAUGGGAGAGCAGGGCCAACAUGGUCUUCGUGGUGGGCAUGGAGGAGUAGAGGACGAUGGCGGUGGGGGUGGGAGCAGAGUAGCAGAACUUCCAGGCGGCGCUCGCGUCAUGGUGGAGUGGAGGAGCUCGUCAUCCAUCAUCACCAUCCCCAAUCUAGAUCUGUGAUAGAAAAGAAGAGAAAGAAUCUUGUGGAAUUUCAUAUCUGAGAUAGGAACGGGGAGAAAGAAUCUUGUGAAAGAGCAUGACGAAAAAGAAAGGGGUGAAUCAUCACUUUCUCCCAUUCAUGUUUGUUUCCGCAUUUUAAUUUUUAAGAUGCAGGUUGGCCAAUUGUAACAAUAGAAAUAUAUGUGCAACUUUUGUUUGUCUACUUCAAUAAAAAUAUAUUUUCACUUGACCUCGAGGGAGAUCGCAUCCAGUAAUUGUUUCCGGGAGAUUUAUUGGUGAAGGUCUAAACAUUUUAAGAGUUCAAAAAGUACAAACAGCAGCAUUGUAUCCGUACUGAAUACAAGUGAUUUGAAUUCUUUCAGUCAGUUAACAAGCAGUUUUCCAAUUAACAAAACGACAGUGUAGAAACUCUUUUACUAAUGAGAUACAUAAGGUGCAUAAUACUGGUUCAAACAGCAGCAGUUUUUCAACCAAUUAACAAAUAGUAGAAGUUUUACUACUGAGAUAAGCACCAGUUUUUCAGUGUACAAACAACAAUAGUUUUACUACUGAGAUAAGCAGCAAUUUUUCAGUCAGCUAACAAGCAACAGUUUUUCAGUAACAUCUCUCAUGUAUACUUCCAAUGCAUAAACAUGAGCAGAGAUAUGCUACAGUUUAGGCAAAGAAUGAAUCAAAAAAUCGCAGAGAAGCAGCAAAAUGAGUUCCUUCUUUGAGAGAAUGCAAAUCAGAUAUGUUUGUUUCAGGGUUCAGACUUCAAGAUAACUAAAAUGCAUCCCCUAACUUUUUUCAGGCAAGAUCCAGUUUCGUUUCUUAUAUUUGUGCUUCUUCAUUGAGUGCUCUCCAACUUUCUAUUGUUUACAAAUUCCAAAUAGAGCUCCUGGUUUGCUGUGUUGAUUCGUACCAUACAUAAGUUGAACUUUGUUUUCAAAUAGAAGGACCUAAUAAUCUACUACUUAUAUUAUGGGACGGAGUAGUAACAUGUAUGUGUGGCGGCACAAGGAGCAUUUCCUUCUGAGAAAAUAAUAGUAAAGAUAAGUCGAUGACACAAAGUACUGAAUAAAUCAAUACUUCUAAUGAUCUAUAUGAUACAUACUUUCCAUGUUACCUCUACUAUAUAGUUUUACAGUACAAUGUCACAUUUCUGAUCUGUAGUGUACCUCAGUUACUAGCAUGAUAUAAAGUUUAUGGAUAAUUGCCAACAGAGUUCUCAUAUGUUUCUAUGUGUCUGAAUGUUCACAUUCAUCAAGUUUAAGCUUUAUGUAUAGCUUAUAUCUUUCAAGUUAAGCAGUCACACAGUCGCAGGUCCACCGUUUCAUGAUUUUUAAUUUGCUAACUGGGUAAAGAUUCCUUGUCCUUGGUGAGAGACGUGGAUUCACAUUGUUUCGUACCAGAUGUAUGAAGAACAAAGCUAUCUUUCUUUAUCUUUAUUUCCCUCGACUACAUAUUAUUUAACUGUGUCAUGUUUAUAUCCUACUUGACAUGGAUACGGUUCUAUGAGAGGUCAUUGCUUAUGCAUCAGUCCUCAAGGUGGAUGUUGUUCGUUUAGAUAUUACGUUUUGUUGCCAUGUUUCCACAUUAGUCAAAAGUGUUCAUCUCAAUAAUUUAUUGAGAGUGGCUUCGAAUAAUAUGGCAUCAAAACAUUUGUUUUCUCUCAAGCCAAUAAUGAAAUGAUCUACGUGCAUAUAAAACGGGUACCAAUUCUUGGUUUUAAUUAGCUUCUUGAAAAAGGGGUGCAACAGGUCAAUGGACUAUUGUAUUGCUGAUGAUAAUGUUGUUUCGUAUAGAAAGGAAUUUUCUCCUUGCUUUCAUAUGUCGAUAUCAACUCACUGCUUGAUUCAGGUGCUUUUUCGUGUAGAUAGGGUGACAGGAAUAUUCCUGUUAUAUCUUUACCAGUUAGCACAUGUAAUCUGGUACUCUGUUUUCUUUGUCACUUUUAUCUUCACGAUGUAGUCAAGGCAAAAGGCAUUAGGAGACCUCCAGAGUCUGCAGAAUGGCAAGCUUGAAAAGUUAAGUGAUAUACAAAGUCAACCCGAGUCACAGCCCAAGUUCAUCAUAGUGGCGUGGCUCCUCUUUUAAAGAGGUUGUUCAUGCUAUCCUAGAUGCCACCGACAUGUACCGUCGUGCUUUCAUGAAAGAAAAAUGUAGCUAGGUAUGAUUCGACCAUCUUACUUCCUUUGGUUGACUGAAUUAAAUUUUAGAUCACUGUUCAGAACAAAGAUUCAAUGAUGGUGUUCAAAUUUCUUAGAAAAGCAUUGUCUGUCUAUUAUCCAUCUCAUUUAAGUCACCUUUUUCUUUGCCAUUGUGUAAUAGUAAGCAUGGUUUCCAAAUAUAAUUGUGCUUGCUACGAUUUUAGUUGUAUUGGCCAAGAAGAGAACGAAAAUACAAUUGCCGGAACUACUGUUGCCAUGUGCUCUUUUAUUAGUGUAAGUUUCUUAAUUCCAUUUCUACUUAUUUUCUGAUGGCUUCAGUGAGCUCUUAUAUUAUACAUGCAGUUUUGUUUAGAAAUAGUUGUUUGGAACUUGGGGCAUUAAGACUUCAUUAACAUAUAAAUCCUCCAUGCCAUUGUUGCAUAUCAAGUGAUCAGGUUGGGAAAUUUCAGCAAAAUCAUAGCAUCCACAUUUUUUUAGUUCGUGUUUGAUAGUUUGUUUGUGGGAGCUAAAUCCCACUUAACUAUGCUCGAAAAUGUUUUUCCACUUAUUUCACCUUUCUUUGAUAAUCGGAUUAAUGUUUGUGUCAGUAUCGAGAAUUACAUAUUAUGGCUGGAUUAUUUAAUCUUUGCUAGAAUAAUGUUGGAAACAGGAACAAUAUCAAGGUAAUUAUCCACAAGGUACCGCCAAAUAUUCUUACUUUUUUGCAUGGUCUAUGGAUUACUUAAUGCAAAUAACCUUGCCAGAGAACUGUGUCCGGCACACAACUGCGUCUCCAACCCAUCCCAUAUACCAGCUCCUCCUCACCCCUUCCUCAAUUUUCCGGUAAAAAUCUAUGCUUUGGUUUAUGCUUACUUGGUGGAGGUGGAUAUGGAUGCAGAUGGAGAGGCACAAAUUCACGGAUUGGCCAAUGAGAUAUGUAGAUUGAGACAAUAUGACGCUUCAGAUAAAUGAUGUGUGUAAUUUGGACCAAUGAAAACAGAAAUCCAGCCUCCUUUUUUUGUGCGGAAAUGGGCCCCUACGGUAAAUGAAGCUACACUAGAUCCACUUUACUUCAGCUAUUUUGCCAAUUCUUGAGGCUUCCUUGGUAGUGUAGAUUCAAGGAAAAUUUAUAAAAUUUAUGCAUUCUUCCUUCACUUUUUUGUGUGUACAUGUUUUGUAAUGUUGAGCUAACUCAGUUGCAGAUAACAAGUGUGCUCUGUAUUCAGUUUAGCUAACAUUUUUUUUGCUACUGUUAAAACAUAUACUGCUUUUUAAGGGAAACAUAACUAUUGUUUUGUUUUAUUAACCCUAUAUAUAUGAAAAAUUCCUUCUAAUUUGUUGUUCUUAAAUGCUGAAGGAGCCUUUCAGUGGUACGUGCACACGGUUUUCAUAUGUAUAACUGUAAUGAACAUGCAACACUGAGAAAAUUUUAUUUGUGAGUUGCAUGACCACGGUGUUAGAAUCCUUACCAUUUAUAACUUUUGUAUACAUGAACAUAUAAACACUCACUACAAUAAUUUCCCUGUUCGUGAGGUGUAAUUUUUAAGACUAGCGGCAGUGGGGAAAUCCUUAUCACUGUUCUUUUAUGUCUUAUCUGGUUAGCAUAGUGUUUGGUGAGAAAUGAUAAGAGCAAUACUUUCUGUUGAAUUGCUGAGAUAAAUAUGCUCUUCUUUUGCAAUUAACAGCUUGAGAAGCUCAUCAAUGCUAAUUCAACUGAGGUUGAUUGGGAACGUCCCUUCUAUUUGAAUUUAACACGACUUAUACUGUCACAGUGGCAUUGUGCAAGUAUGAUUUUGUGGCACUUCCACUGAGAUCUUACAAGCUUUGUAUGCUCUGAACAAUUGGCUAUAACUGCAUAAGAAUAACUAGAAACCUUUUUUGGAGAUCUAUUGAGGCGUCAUGGCUGGUGUGUGAGACACUAGAGUAGAGACAUAUCCAGGAGGCGCCACCGUAUGGAAGAGUCGUAAUAACAAUGGCGCAGAGCGCGUGUUUGUUCAGCAUGGAUGUGGCUGUGUGUUCAUUUGUAGGCUGAUAGCUUUAUAAGAAAAUUUACAUCACUGAUUCUGUUUUAGGUUUUCACUCAGACAUACAGUGGUUAGUGAUGUUAAUGCAUACAUAGUCCUAUAUGUGGCUUGAUGUUGCCGUAUCUUUCAUUCAAGAUCUUGUGAACCGUGUUGAUUUCUGGACCAAUAAAGUGAUAUGUUAUUAGAUGAAGCAUUCAAAUUUUUAUUUGUGUUCUGGCUUUGUAUGUUCUAUGCAGCCGUGUCCCUAGGGAUAGAUCCCUUGUGACCCUCCCCUGUUUUUGAUGCCAACAACAUGGUGCCAGGCGAGAGAAUCAUGAUUCGCCACCUCUUCCUUUUGUUUUGAUCCUACAGGAACACAUGAACCUACCCCAACCUCCUCGUGUCGAAUGAAUGAGUCUUGCUAAAAAUUGAGUUUUCUUAAUUAGUAUAUAUGGCUUCUCUGAACAUGACAUUUCUUCGUGUAUAGGCCAGAAGCUCUGUUAGUUGUAUGAUAGAUAUGGAAUUUCAAUUUGAUAGUUUGAACAAUAGUUAUCUAUUAGUUAUUGUUAGUCUGACAUACUUUUGUCACCUUCUAUCAUGUUUUAAGCUCAACUGAUGGAUGAUUUCUGCCAUGUUUUUCUUCUUCAUUUUCAUGUGGAAGUAUUAGAUAUCCUGGGGAUGGAUGUUUUAUUCGAAGAAUUCCCAGAAAUUGUGAAUCUCGGUGUACAAGAAUCAACACGAAUGCUGAAACAUUGUUUUUUUUUGCUGAAGAGGCCAGCUGUGAAUACCUUCAGCAGUACACUAAUGAGGCCAUGGUCAACCUUUAAGAGAGUGGUGUCUAUCCUUAUGGCCAGGAGCAGUCAACAGACGACGAUGAGGACCUGCCAACCCAGAGCGAUGAAAAUGCACCGUACGACCCAGAGAUGAGGACCUCACUUGAUGAUGAACAGAUCUUCGACAGCGAAGGAUACUGCUCUGAAGAUUUCCGUUUCCUACCUGAAGAUCACUUCUAACAGCCCUGCAAGAACCAUCAGAUCACUGCUAUCAUCAUUAGAGCCAGUCGAUGCUCCCUACUAAUAUAGUUAUCUAUAGCCAUAUGUAACAUAUAUCCUAUCGCACCAUGGCACAGUCGGUUCUUCCGAAUCUAUCUGCUAAGCCUUAAUGAAUCUGUAUGUACAUGUGAACCUCAUGAUGUAAUAUGUCCUAUCGAACCAUGUCACUCUCGGUUAUGCCAGAUCUACUGCUGGAUCUUCGUGCUUUGUUUAUUUGUUUUGCUACGCUCUGCUGUGUUUAAAUCAUAUGUCUGAUUGCAU